rnacentral:tRNA from 1 species
GCCUUCGUAGUGUAAUGGUCAACACACUAGGCGCGCAUCCGAGAGGUCCGAGGUUCGAGUCCCGGCGAGGAAA